rnacentral:rRNA from 1 species
UACGAAGGGGGCUAGCGUUGCUCGGAAUCACUGGGCUUAAAGGGCGCGUAGGCGGCUCAUCAAGUCCGGGGUGAAAGCCCCCAGCUCAACUGGGGAAGUGCCUCGGAUACUGGUGAGCUUGAGGGAGGUAGGGGCGGAUGGAACUUCCGGUGGAGCGGUGAAAUGCGUUGAUAUCGGAAGGAACGCCGGUGGCGAAAGCGAUCCGCUGGCCCUCUUCUGACGCUGAGGCGCGAAAGCCAGGGGAGCAAACGGG